UGGGGAUGACGUCAAGUCCUCAUGGCCCUUAUAGUGGGGCUACACACGUCAUACAAUGGAUGGUACAAAGGGUCGCCAACCCGCGAGGGGGAGCCAAUCCCAUAAAGCCAGUCGUAGUCCGGAUCGCAGUCUGCAACUCGACUGCGUGAAGUCGGAAUCGCUAGUAAUCGUGGAUCAGCAUGUCACGGUGAAUACGUUCCCGGGUCUU
rnacentral:rRNA from 1 species